rnacentral:lncRNA from 1 species
UCUUUAACCAGCGGAAUCCCGUCCGGGUCUGUAACACCCGAAUCCGGCCUCUCGACGAAACUGGGCCCAUUUUCUACUUAAUCAAUCCCUUGCUUGAUUCAUUUUAUGUCUUUCAUUUACUAAGUCAUGUUCGAAUCCGAGGUUCUAAAACAAUUGAACAGAUAGCACAGCGGAAUAUAAAUGUGUAAAAUGUAUUACUUAGAAACAUGAGAUCUGAUACACAACUUCUUAAUCGUUUCAUAGACAAUCACUAGUUCAU